ACACGACUCUCGGCAACGGAUAUCUCGGCUCUCGCAUCGAUGAAGAACGUAGCAAAAUGCGAUACCUGGUGUGAAUUGCAGAAUCCCGCGAACCAUCGAGUCUUUGAACGCAAGUUGCGCCCGAGGCCAUUCGGCCGAGGGCACGCCUGCCUGGGCGUCACGC
rnacentral:rRNA from 1 species